rnacentral:rRNA from 1 species
AGCGAACGCUGGCGGCAGGCCUAACACAUGCAAGUCGAACGAACCUUUCGGGGUUAGUGGCGGACGGGUGAGUAACACGUGGGAACGUGCCUUUAGGUUCGGAAUAACUCAGGGAAACUUGUGCUAAUACCGAAUGUGCCCUUCGGGGGAAAGAUUUAUCGCCUUUAGAGCGGCCCGCGUCUGAUUAGCUAGUUGGUUGAGGUAAUGGCUCACCACGGCGACGAUCAGUAGCUGGUCUGAGAGGAUGAUCAGCCACAUUGGGACUGAGACACGGCCCAAACUCGUGGGGGGGAGGGGGGUAGGAAGUCUGGCGAAGGGGAGGAAGACGAAACAACGCCGUGCGGGGUAAAUGGAGAGGUUUUUGGGAUUAAAAAUUUUUUUCACAGGGGAGGAAAAGGACGUGACCGGGAAGAGAACCCCCGGCAAACUUCGUG